rnacentral:misc_RNA from 1 species
GUUGUUUUGUUUAAAUGAAGCGCUGAUGCAUGUCCCGAUUUGUGUAGUUGCGGCCCCCAAGCUAAUGGAACAGAGAAUGAAGUCAGAGAGUCUUUUCAACUGCGCUGCAAAAAGUUCCAUUCAAUAAUCAAAUAGCCAUUGUUAAUACGCAAGAUAAGACAUUCUGUUUCCUGGGAGUGGCAAAUGCUCGUUGCGUUUGGGUUCUUAAAUUUGUUUAUUGCAAUGCUGUUUAACUUUGUUGAACCUUUUGCAAAGGAUCGUAUCAAUUGGUGCAUAAGCCUUG